AUGCAUUUAACAUAUACUGUACACAACCUCUACCAGGAACACUAUCCUCUACUAGGAACACUAUCCUCUACUAUCCUCUACCAGGAACACUAUCCUCUACUAUCCUCUACCAGAUACACCAGCCUCUACCAGAUACACCAGCCUCUACUAGAUACACCAGCCUCUACCAGAUACACCAGCCUCUACCAGAUACACCAGCCUCUACCAGAUACACCAGCCUCUAAUAUCCUCCACCAGAUACACCAGCCUCUACUAUCCUCCACCAGGAACACCAGGCUCUACUAUCCUCCACCAGGAACACCAGCCUCUACCAGAUAAACCAGCCUCUACUAUCCUCCNNNNNNNNNNCAUGUUACUCACACCCUCCAUGUUUCUCACACAGUGACACAGACCCUCCAUGUUACUCACACAAUGAGUAAAAGACUCUCCCUCGUCCAUGGGCUCAUCCAGGAUCUGGUGACCAUUAACCUGGAACACACACACACACACACAGUAAACAACCACGUCAACACAAUACAAAUCACACAUCAACAGAGCUGACACACAACACGAUGGGAGCGUUCCAGCAGGUCAAUUUGGCAAGUCAAUGACAACAAGAGCUGUUCCCGACAAAAUAAAAUCUUAGUCGAUGGAAAGUCGCCUGUUCAUUCAACCAAUCGGACAUUUUUAAAUGAGUAUUUUUCCAUAUAUAGACACACCCUGUGUUUCAUAAAAAAUCAACUAUAUGCAUUGAGCUUGAAUGAUGCUUAAAGCGUAUGGUUUGAUGAAAUGAGACAAAUGCCCCAAGAGGGAGUUAGAGAUCUAGAUGACCAGAAGAAAAAAACUAUUCUCCUCCUGCUUGCUUUCACAGAUUCUGCCAUUAUUCCUGAAGUUGCCGGUAAAAGGCUACACGAGGAGACUGCAGCCUUUCUCAUGUGGAAUGCCAAUUUAUCUUACCAUUUCACCGAUCUGCGUGCGUGCAAGUUAUGGUUUUCCUAUGUAUAUUUUUGUGAAAGCUUCAUUUAAUUGAUAACAUCUUCAUACCUCAAAAUCAUUG
rnacentral:lncRNA from 13 species